rnacentral:rRNA from 1 species
GAUGAACGCUAGCGGCAGGCCUAACACAUGCAAGUCGAGGGGCAGCACAGAAACAGCAAUGUUUUGGUGGCGACCGGCGGACGGGUGCGUAACGCGUAUGCAACCUACCUUUAACAGGGGGAUAACGGAGAGAAAUUUCCACUAAUACCCCAUAACAUCGAUCAAGGCAUCUUGAUUGGUUGAAAACUCCGGUGGUUAAAGAUGGGCAUGCGUUGUAUUAGGUAGUUGGUGAGGUAAUGGCUCACCAAGCCGACGAUACAUAGGGGGACUGAGAGGUUAGCCCCCCACACUGGUACUGAGACACGGACCAGACUCCUACGGGAGGCAGCAGUGAGGAAUAUUGGUCAAUGGGGGCAACCCUGAACCAGCCAUGCCGCGUGCAGGAAGACGGCUCUAUGAGUUGUAAACUGCUUUUAAACAGGGAUAAAGCACAGUAUGUAUACUGUGUUGAAGGUACCGUAAGAAUAAGGAUCGGCUAACUCCGUGCCAGCCGCCGCGGUAA